rnacentral:rRNA from 1 species
AGGAGAGUUUGAUCCUGGCUCAGAACGAACGCUGGCGGCGCGUUUUAAGCAUGCAAGUCGAGCGGUAAGCCGGAGCAAUCCGGCCUAGAGCGGCGGACGGGUGAGUAACACGUGGAUAAUCUGGCCUACAGUUUGGGAUAGCCUGGUGAAAGCCAGGAUAAUACCGGAUACGACGGUUUUGACAUAAGUCAGGAUCGGGAAAGGGGCUAAGGCCUCGCUGAAGGAUGAGUCCGCGUCCCAUUAGCUAGAUGGUGAGGUAAAGGCCCACCAUGGCGAUGAUGGGUAGCCGGCCUAAGAGGGUGAACGGCCACAUUGGGACUGAGAUACGGCCCAGACUCCUACGGGAGGCAGCAGCUAAGAAUCUUCCGCAAUGGUCGAAAGACUGACGGAGCGACGCCGCGUGAAUGAUGAAGGCCGUGAGGUUGUAAAGUUCUUUUCUGGAGGGAGAAUAAGUGGUGUAGGGAAUGACACCAUGAUGACGUGAAUCCAGGAAUAAGCCCCGGCUAACUACGUGCCAGCAGCCGCGGUAACACGUAGGGGGCAAGCGUUGUUCGGAAUUAUUGGGCGUAAAGGGUGCGCAGGCGGCUUGGCAAGUCUGCUGUUAAAUGGUUGAGCUUAACUCAAUCAUGCGGUGGAAACUAUCAAGCUAGAAUCAACGAAGGGAUGCCGGAAUUCCAGGUGUAGGGGUGAAAUCUGUAGAUAUCUGGAAGAACACCAAUGGCGAAGGCAGGCAUCUGGCGACUGAUUGACGCUGAGGCACGAAGGUGCGGGGAGCAAACAGGUUUAGAUACCCUGGUAGUCCCCU